ACACACAACCUCCUCACAGACAUUAUCAUGAAGUAAUAAUGAGGUCAUUUAUAGAUGUUAUCAUGAGGUAAUCAUGAGGUUAUUUAUAGACUUUAUCAGGAGGUAAUAAUGAGGUUAUUUAUUGACGUUAUCAUGAGGUAAUAAUGAGGUUAUUUAUAGAUGUUAUCGUGAGGUAAUAAUGAGGUCAUUUAUAGACCUUAUCACGAGGUAAUAAUGAGGUUAUUUAUAGACGUUAUCAUGAGGUAAUAUUGAGCUUAUUUAUUGACGUUAUCAUGAGGUAAUAAUGAGGUUAUUUAGAGACGUUAUCACGAGGUAAUAAUGAGCUUAUUUAGAGACGUUAUCACGAGGUAAUAAUGAGGUUAUUUAGAGACGUUAUCACGAGGUAAUAAUGAGGUCAUUUAUUGACGUUAUCACGAGGUAAUAAUGAGGUCAUUUAUUGACGUUAUCACGAGGUAAUAAUGAGGUCAUUUAUUGACGUUAUCACGAGGUAAUAAUGAGGUCAUUUAUAGACGUUAUCAUGAGGUAAUAAUGAGGUUAUUUAGGAUAGAGGUUAUAACCUGUAGUGGACUGAAGUACUCCUGAGCUGCAG